rnacentral:rRNA from 1 species
GACGAACCGUGCAAACGUUGUUCGGAAUCACUGGGCUUAAAGGGCGCGUAGGCGGUCGACCAAGUCCGGGGUGAAAUCUUUCGGCUCAACCGGAAAAGUGCCUUGGAUACUGGUCGGCUGGAGGGAGGUAGGGGCAGGUGGAACUUCCAGUGGAGCGGUGAAAUGCGUUGAUAUUGGAAGGAACGCCGGUGGCGAAAGCGACCUGCUGGACCUCUUCUGACGCUGAGGCGCGAAAGCUAGGGGAGCAAACGGG